GGUACAGGGAAGCUAUUGGGAUCUAUAGGGUUCCCUAUAGUGUGGACGGAGUGCUAUGGGGAUCAGUAGUAAGGGGUCCCCUAUAGGGCUGAGCCCCACAGCAAGGGGUCUCUGGGGUCCCCUAUAGGGCUGAGCCCCAUGGCAAAGGGUCUUUAGGGUCUUCUGUAGGGCUGAGACCCACAGCAAGGGGUCUCUGCAGUGUCUCCUAUAGGGCUGAGCCCCAUGGCAACGGGUCUGUGGGGUCCCCUAUAGGGCUGAGCCCCACCUGUGGCUCCCUACAGCCCCCCCUAUGGGGACUCUCCAGUGUCCCCUAUAGGGCUGAGCCCCAUGGCAACGGGUCUGUGGGGUCCCCUAUAGGGCUGAAUCCCACUUGCAGCCCCCCCUAUGGGGACUCUCCAGUGUCUCGUAUAGGG
rnacentral:lncRNA from 1 species